rnacentral:rRNA from 1 species
AUUGGAACGCUGGCGGCAGGCCUAACACAUGCAAGUCGAGCGGAUGAACGGGAGCUUGCUCCCUGAUUCAGCGGCGGACGGGUGAGUAAUGCCUAGGCAAUCUGCCUGGUAGUGGGGGACAACGUACCGAAAGGAGCGGCUAAUACGCGCAUACGUCCUGACGGGAGAAAGUGGCGGGAAUCUCGGACCUCGCACGCUAUCAGCGACGUCGAGCCUAGAUCGGAUUUAGUAAGUAGGGUGGGGAAUGGGCUCACCUUGGCGACGAUCCGUAACUGGUCUGUACGCGAGCGAUGAUCAGUUCGGCCACUGGGAACUGAGACACGGUCCCAGAUCCUGCGGGAGGCAGYAGUGGGGAAUAUUGGACAAUGGGCGAAAGCCUGAUCCAGCCAUGCCGAGUGUGUGAAGAAGGUCUUCGGCCUUGUAAAGCACUUUAAGUUGGGAAGAAGGGCAGUAAGUUAUACCUUGCUGUUUGACGUUACCAC